rnacentral:rRNA from 1 species
UUAAGCAUAUAAAUAAGCGGAGGACGAGAAACUAAACAGGAUCCCUGAAGUAAUGGCGAAUGAACAGGGAGGAACUCAUCUUGGAAAUCUGGGCUAGUCGCCUUGAAUUGUAGUUUUGAGAUAUACUGCCAACGGGAGCGUAGAGGUAAGCCUCUUGGAAAAGAGCAUCAGUGAGGGUGAGAGUCCUGUCUGGCUUCUGCAGCCUGCCGUGCACGGCAUAUUUUCUAAGAGUCACGUUCCUUGAGAUUGGAGCGCAAAGUCGGUGGUAAAUUUCAUCCAAAGUUAAAUAAUCGCUCGAGACCGAUAGCAAACAAGUACCGCGAGGGAAAGAUGAAAAGAACUUUGAAAAGAUAGUUAAAAGUGUUUGAAAUCGCCGAUGGGGAAGCGAGUUGAACCAUUGCUCCUUGGCGAGAUUGCUUCGCAUUAUAGUGAUGACCUCUUGCACCAGCGUAAGUGCGGCAAAAGGUUUUAAUCUAGGUUUGUGCGGUGCUUCUUGCCAUAGACGUCAGUGUCGGCUUACAUUCGGGGAAAACUUCAAGGACAUGGCAUGUCGCUCGCGGGUGACUUAAUGUCCUUGUCGGAGCUCGUUUUUGUGCCGACUUCUGCCUGUCCUGUUGCAUUGCCUCCUUGCUCUUUCCACUGAUAGCGGAAGUCGCUGCUUUCGCUCCAUGUAGGAAGGAAGUGGAGUCACGUUCCUUGACGAAACUCACUGACAAAAUGGCUUCAUUCGACCCGUCUUGAA